AUGCAAGUCGAACGAUGAAGCCCAGCUUGCUGGGUGGAUUAGUGGCGAACGGGUGAGUAACACGUGAGUAACCUGCCCUUAACUCUGGGAUAAGCCUGGGAAACUAGGUCUAAUACCGGAUAGGAGCGCCUACCGCAUGGUGGGUGUUGGAAAGAUUUAUCGGUUUUGGAUGGACUCGCGGCCUAUCAGCUUGUUGGUGAGGUAAUGGCUCACCAAGGCGACGACGGGUAGCCGGCCUGAGAGGGUGACCGGCCACACUGGGACUGAGACACGGCCCAGACUCCUACGGGAGGCAGCAGUGGGGAAUAUUGCACAAUGGGCGAAAGCCUGAUGCAGCGACGCCGCGUGAGGGAUGACGGCCUUCGGGUUGUAAACCUCUUUCAGUAGGGAAGAAGCGAAAGUGACGGUACCUGCAGAAGAAGCACCGGCUAACUACGUGCCAGCAGCCGCGGUAAUACGUAGGGUGCGAGCGUUAUCCGGAAUUAUUGGGCGUAAAGAGCUCGUAGGCGGUUUGUCGCGUCUGUCGUGAAAGUCCGGGGCUUAACCCCGGAUCUGCGGUGGGUACGGGCAGACUAGAGUGCAGUAGGGGAGACUGGAAUUCCUGGUGUAGCGGUGGAAUGCGCAGAUAUCAGGAGGAACACCGAUGGCGAAGGCAGGUCUCUGGGCUGUAACUGACGCUGAGGAGCGAAAGCAUGGGGAGCGAACAGGUAUUAGAUACCCUGGUAGUCCAUGCCGUAAACGUUGGGCACUAGGUGUGGGGACCAUUCCACGGUUUCCGCGCCGCAGCUAACGCAUUAAGUGCCCCGCCUGGGGAGUACGGCCGCAAGGCUAAAACUCAAAGGAAUUGACGGGGGCCCGCACAAGCGGCGGAGCAUGCGGAUUAAUUCGAUGCAACGCGAAGAACCUUACCAAGGCUUGACAUGUUCUCGAUCGCCGUAGAGAUACGGUUUCCCCUUUGGGGCGGGUUCACAGGUGGUGCAUGGUUGUCGUCAGCUCGUGUCGUGAGAUGUUGGGUUAAGUCCCGCAACGAGCGCAACCCUCGUUCCAUGUUGCCAGCACGUAAUGGUGGGGACUCAUGGGAGACUGCCGGGGUCAACUCGGAGGAAGGUGAGGACGACGUCAAAUCAUCAUGCCCCUUAUGUCUUGGGCUUCACGCAUGCUACAAUGGCCGGUACAAUGGGUUGCGAUACUGUGAGGUGGAGCUAAUCCCAAAAAGCCGGUCUCAGUUCGGAUUGGGGUCUGCAACUCGACCCCAUGAAGUCGGAGUCGCUAGUAAUCGCAGAUCAGCAACGCUGCGGUGAAUACGUUCCCGGGCCUUGUACACACCGCCCGUCAAGUCACGAAAGUUGGUAACACCCGAAGCCGGUGGCCUAACCCUUGUGGGGGGAGCCGUCGAAG
rnacentral:rRNA from 1 species